rnacentral:rRNA from 1 species
GAUGAACGCUGGCGGCGUGCCUAAUACAUGCAAGUCGAGCGAACGGACGAGAAGCUUGCUUCUCUGAUGUUAGCGGCGGACGGGUGAGUAACACGUGGAUAACCUACCUAUAAGACUGGGAUAACUUCGGGAAACCGGAGCUAAUACCGGAUAAUAUUUUGAACCGCAUGGUUCAAAAGUGAAAGACGGUCUUGCUGUCACUUAUAGAUGGAUCCGCGCUGCAUUAGCUAGUUGGUAAGGUAACGGCUUACCAAGGCAACGAUGCAUAGCCGACCUGAGAGGGUGGUCGGCCAGGAGGGAACUGAGCCCCGGUCCAGACUCCUACGGGAGGCAGCAGUAGGGAAUGUUCCGCAAUGGGCGAAAGCCUGACGGAGCAACUCCGCGUGGGUGAUGAAGGUCUUCGGAUCGUAAAACUAUGUUAUCAGGAAAGAACAAAUGUGUAAGUAACUGUGCACAUCUUGACGGUACCUUAUCAGAAAGCCACGGCUAACUACGUG